UUCUUUGCUUGCCGGCAGGUGUCCCCGGUCCUUUCACCCAAUCCCGUGUCACCUCUGAGCAGCUGGUCAUCAGAUCCUAGGCAGGAAAGCUCCCCCGCCCGACCGUGAUGCAGGGGACGGGGACAGUGGAAAUGCGGCAAACCGCAGGGGCGGGCGUGCGCGUGGCCGGACGACGGUCGGCGCUGCCGGGAUGUUCGAGGGCAACUACAGAAUGUUCUCAAAGCCCGAAAGCCACAGCCGCGCAACGGCGGGUCGUUUCGGGGGGCCUCAGCCUCCGCCGCUCUGCUGCUACCACAGCUGUUUCCUGGAAGGGCCGCAGUCUGAGAACACGGCCCCAGCACUCUGCCUGUGUCAUUAAUUUAGGAAAAGCUACAAUCACCAUACUCUCUACCCACCUCACUCUCAGCACAACCUCCCCACAUGGCUGGAUGUGGAUACUCACCUACCUUGGCAUCUGCUUCAAGAGAGGAGACAGGGGGGCCUGUUCGGGAGAGAAGGAAGUCAACUUUUCUUCACUUUGGAACAACUGACGCAUUUCUCUUUCCUUCCUGUCGGGCCAGUGCUGAAGCGGGGCAGCGUCUGCGCCCGCCCAGACAGCUUCUGUGGUUGCCCCCCCAUCGCCAAGGACCUCAGGAGCGAGGCCACCCAAAGCCACACCCAGGGGCUCUUGUAGGCCAACAGUCCAUGGUCUUCAGCUGGAGGACAGAUGAAGCUGACGUUCCUGAAACUUUCACCCCUACCAGGGAAACCCCAAGACAGACUAGAGGCUUCAAAUAUUCAAACGUUUUCACAUUUGCAAGGGGUUUCACACUGACCUCGAGUGUAAAUGACUGAUCACAUUGUGAAGAAUGGUUACAAACGCAAGAAUAACAAGACUGGCAUAAGCUUUGGAGGGGGGAGGGUGCACCGCGGGGCGGGGGCAGGGGAUUUCACUGAGGUAUCCCAUACAAAUAGAAUACGAUAAAAUCACAAGCGGGGGGAACACACCCCUAUCAAGAAACUACAACGGCACCCCGGAAGCCCCUUUGUCUGCCCUUCCAGUUACUACCUUCUCUCCAAAGAUAACCAUUUUCCUGAUCUCUAACACCACUGAGUCGCUUUCCUGUUUUUGCACUUUGUGUCAAUGAACGUAUGUAAUAUG